AUUGAACGCUGGCGGCAGGCCUAACACAUGCAAGUCGAGCGGAUGAAGGGAGCUUGCUCCUGGAUUCAGCGGCGGACGGGUGAGUAAUGCCUAGGAAUCUGCCUGGUAGUGGGGGAUAACGUCCGGAAACGGGCGCUAAUACCGCAUACGUCCUGAGGGAGAAAGUGGGGGAUCUUCGGACCUCACGCUAUCAGAUGAGCCUAGGUCGGAUUAGCUAGUUGGUGGGGUAAAGGCCUACCAAGGCGACGAUCCGUAACUGGUCUGAGAGGAUGAUCAGUCACACUGGAACUGAGAAACGGUCCAGACUCCUACGGGAGGCAGCAGUGGGGAAUAUUGGACAAUGGGCGGAAGCCUGAUCCAGCCAUGCCGCGUGUGUGAAGAAGGUCUUCGGAUUGUAAAGCACUUUAAGUUGGGAGGAAGGGCAGUAAGUUAAUACCGUGCUGUUUUGACGUUACCAACAGAAUAAGCACCGGCUAACUUCGUG
rnacentral:rRNA from 1 species